rnacentral:rRNA from 1 species
UACGGGGGGAGCAAGCGUUGUUCGGAUUUACUGGGCGUAAAGGGCGCGUAGGCGGCCACCGCAAGUCGGUUGUGAAAUCUCUGGGCUUAACCCAGAAAGGUCAACCGAUACUGCGGGGCUAGAGUGCAGAAGGGGCAACUGGAAUUCUCGGUGUAGCGGUGAAAUGCGUAGGUAUCGAGAGGAACACCUGCGGCGAAGGCGGGUUGCUGGGCUGACACUGACGCUGAAGCGCGAAAGCUAGGGGAGCGAACAGG